rnacentral:rRNA from 1 species
UACGUAGGGCGCACGCGUUGUCCGGAAUUAUUGGGCGUAAAGAGCUCGUAGGCGGCUUGUCACGUCGGGUGUGAAAGCCCGGGGCUUAACCCCGGGUCUGCAUUCGAUACGGGCAAGCUAGAGUGUGGUAGGGGAGAUCGGAAUUCCUGGUGUAGCGGUGAAAUGCGCAGAUAUCAGGAGGAACACCAAUGGCGAAGGCAGCUCGCUGGAACGGUACUGACGCUGUGGCGCGAAAGCGUGGGGAGCGAACAGG